rnacentral:rRNA from 1 species
GACGAACGCUGGCGGCGUGCCUAAUACAUGCAAGUCGAGCGCAGGAAGUCAUCCGAACCCUUCGGGGGGACGUUGACGGAAUGAGCGGCGGACGGGUGAGUAACACGUAAAGAACCUGCCCUCAGGUCUGGGAUAACCACGAGAAAUCGGGGCUAAUACCGGAUGGGUCAUCGGACCGCAUGGUCCGAGGAUGAAAGGCGCUCCGGCGUCGCCUGGGGAUGGCUUUGCGGUGCAUUAGCUAGUUGGUGGGGUAAUGGCCCACCAAGGCGACGAUGCAUAGCCGACCUGAGAGGGUGAUCGGCCACACUGGGACUGAGACACGGCCCAGACUCCUACGGGAGGCAGCAGUAGGGAAUCUUCCACAAUGGACGAAAGUCUGAUGGGGCAACGCCGCGUGAACGAUGAAGGCCCUCGGGUCGUAAAGUUCUGUUGUAAGGGAAGAACAAGUGCCGCAGGCAAUGGCGGCAACUUGACGGUACCUUGCGAGAAAGCCACGGCUAACUACGUG